ensembl:lincRNA
AUGGCUCUGUCCUGCUUGGCCCACAGGCAGCCAGACUUUAAGGUUAUCUCCCUUGUUCCCUGAAAAUCACUGUUAUCCUGCUCUUAAGGUGCCCAGAUUUCAUAUUGUUCAAACACACAUGCUCUACAAACAAUUUGUGCAGUUAACGCAAUCAUCACAAGGUCCUGAGGCGACAUACAUCCUCAGUUUAUGAAGAUGACAGGAUUAAGAGAUUAAAGCAAAGACAGACAUAGGAAAUCACAAGAGUACUGAUUGCGGAAGUGAUAAAUGUCCAUGAAAUCUUCACAAUUGAUGUUCUUCUGCCGUGGCUUCAGCUGGUCCCUCCGUUCAGGGUCCCUGACUUCUUUCAACACCUAUCCUGUCAUUCUUUAGAGAGCUUGUUCCUGAAGCAUGGUGCUAAGUCCAUUUGCAGCAGAUGGAGCUCAUGAGAAAAGAGUUGCUCUUGUGAAGACCAAAGCUUGCAAAAGCAUUCCCAGAAGCACGGAGAAGUGAGGAGAAAAGGCAAUGCACCUGGAGCUGGAGACCAAGACCCCGUUCUUACUGAUGGCCCUUGGAGCAGAUAUUUGAAUUGGAGAGAUAAAACCGUGGUUUUUGGGGUGUUAAUUUUGGUGGCUGAUGCAUUCUGUGAUUGAUUUGGCUAUUACAACUGGUAUUGAUUUUAAACACAUUAAUUGCAAAAUCUCAAUUGUGAUUUGAUUUCUGUAUUUACAAUACUAAAAACGAGGCUUUCGCCAGGAGAAGACAAUUGGCAGUACUCAGUUGGAAGUGCUUAAUUGUUAAUAUAUAUCAGCCGUGGUUCUUCAGCGUCGUCAGUGUUGCUCAGUCUUGCUCUUUGUGGCGACUACUGAAUGCUUGAAAAAUUCUCUCCUAUACUCCCACUCUGCGCUGUAGAAGAGAAAGAGAGGAGAGUGGAAGAAAAAAGAGAGGGAGAGGAGAAAGAAAGAAAGGAGAGAGAAACAUGGGCAUGGAUGAUACAUAAGAUAAUUCCAGAAGAUUUCAGCAUAGCAGAUAAAAUACAGCAAAUCCUAACCAGCACAGGUUUGAGUGACAAACGGGCCGGUUCCAUGGGCACAGAUGACUUCAUCAGGGGCACAGAGUUGGUUGAUGAAUGGAGGGCUGGAGCUUGAGGCUGGAUGUGUACCCCAGAAGGGUCUCUAAGAUUCAAAACCUUUUCAUACCAAUGUCCCUAAUUCCUCCAUGUUAUUGGCAUUGGACUUGAUCUCUCUUCAUACAUAUUUUUGUAUACAUAAGGUGUGCAAGGGUGUGUGUGCAUGUGUGUGUGUGUGUGUGUCAGGGAUAGGGUCUCAGAGUGAAUGUAUUUGUUUUUUCUACUUUGACCUUGUACACAGUGACCUUUCUAAAUUUUUAUUUUAAUUGUUUUUCAAUUGUUUAUGUAGACAAUCAUGCUGUCUGAGUAGAGAUAUUCACAUCUUCCUUUAAAGCAUUUAUUCAUUUUAUUUACAUCUUCCUUUAAAACAUUUAUUCAUUUUAUUUAUUUCCCUUGCCUUAUUGUGCCAGCUAGAAUCUGCAGUAAAAUUUGGAAUUGCACGUGGUGAUAAUGGACACCCUUGUUUUAUCCUUGAGCUCAGGGAGAUAUGAUUCAAUACUUUACCAGGAGCAUAACGUCAGCUAUGGUUGUUUUGUAGCUAUUCAUCAUUAGCAUGAAAUGUUUCUUUGUAUUUCUUGCUUACUAAAAAUUUUUAUCAUGAAAAGAUAGGGAAUUU